AAGUCGCUGGCGGUAGGCCUAGACAUGCAAUUGGGAACGGGGUAGCCGUAACUUGCUCUCAUGUGACGAGGGGCGGAUGGGUGAUUACUGUCUGGGAAACUGCCUGAUGGAGGGGGAUUUCUACUGGAAACGGUAGCUAAUACCGCAUACCGUCGCAAGACCAAAGAGGGGGACCUUCCGUCCUCUUGCCAUCAAAUGUGCCCAGAUGGAAUUAGCUAGUGGGUGGGGUAAUGGCUCACCUAAGCAACCAUCCCUGGCUGGACUGAAAGGAUGACCACCCUCACUGUAACUGACACACGGUCCUCACUCCUACGGGAGGCAUCAGUGGGAAAUAUUGAUCAAUGGGCGCAUGCCUGAUCCAUCCCUGCCGCGUGAAUAAAGAAUGCCUUCUGGUUGUAAAUUACUUUCAGCGGGAAGGAAGGUGUUGUAGUUAAUAGCCGCUUCAAUUGACCUUACCCACAAAACAACCACCGACUAACUCCCUGCCACCAGCCGCGGUCAUACGGAGGGUGCAUUCAUCAAUCUUAAUUACUGGACAUAACGCGCACGCAGGCUGUCUGUCAAGUCGGAUAUGACAUCGCCGGGCUCAGCCUGGGAACUGC
rnacentral:rRNA from 1 species